rnacentral:rRNA from 1 species
CGUACACUCCUGCGGGAGGCAGCAGUGGGGAAUAUUGCACAAUGGGCGCAAGCCUGAUGCAGCCAUGCCGCGUGUAUGAAGAAGGCCUUCGGGUUGUAAAGUACUUUCAGCGGGGAGGAAGGCGAUAAGGUUAAUAACCUUGUCGAUUGACGUUACCCGCAGAAGAAGCACCGGCUAACUCCGUGCCAGCAGCCGCGGUAAUACGGAGGGUGCAAGCGUUAAUCGGAAUUACUGGGCGUAAAGCGCACGCAGGCGGUCUGUCAAGUCGGAUGUGAAAUCCCCGGGCUCAACCUGGGAACUGCAUUCGAAACUGGCAGGCUAGAGUCUUGUAGAGGGGGGUAGAAUUCCAGGUGUAGCGGUGAAAUGCGUAGAGAUCUGGAGGAAUACCGGUGGCGAAGGCGGCCCCCUGGACAAAGACUGACGCUCAGGUGCGAAAGCGUGGGGAGCAAACAGGAGUAGAAACCCCUGUAGUCCCAUG